CCAUUUUCCUCUCUUUUUCCUUCAUUCAGACUAUGUAUUGGUUCAAUCAGGUGAAGAAUGUGGCAGAAAGAGAACUAUCUGAAGUAUUUAGGCAGACUGGCUCAUAGACCACCAGAUAUAAGAUUCCAGUGUCCUAUGUAUGGCAUAGAAUUCACAGAGAGCUCUGCUAAGAAACAUACUGGAACACUGCCACUUAGAGGUGCUCUUCAUGGUUCUGGGUGUCUGGAACCAUGGCCCAACUAGGGGCUGGAAUGGGUUCUAGAGUUAGAAAGUAAACUGUCAAAUAUUUUGAGGCCAAGCAAAAUGGGACCUGAAUUUAGUCAAGAUUCUUCCCUCUGUAGGUUCUUAACUUCUCUUUUUUAAGAGUAUUUGCUUUGGAAAACUUAUAAUUAUAAAUCCUUUCUCUGCAAAUGGAAAUUGUCUACAACCUAGGAAUGUCUUUCUUUUUCUAUUUAUUUACUUAUUUUUAUUUUUGGUUUUUUUGAGACAGGGUUUUGCUUUGUAGUUCAGGCUGGCCUUGAAUUCAUGUAGCCCAGGCUGGUCUCAAACUUGUGGCAAUACUCCUGCCUCAGCCUUCCAAGUGCUGGGAUUACAGGUGUGUGCCACCAUGCUUAGGAAUGUCUUUCCUAAGGAUCUGGGAAGCAUCUCUUCAACAUGUAAUCAGGAAAGACAGGGCCCUGUGUUUCCCUCUGUAGGAGGGAAGGGCCUAACUUGAUCAAUAACAGCAGAUAGAGAUGAGCUAAACACAUUAAUCAACUCCCUCCAACAUUCUCUGGUACUUUCCCACUAGUUUACACUAAUCCUGCCUUUCAUCUCAGUGGAGUUGGGUUCAGUCCUUCUCCCCAAUUGCUUUAGUCUCUCUUCCCUAUUACAAUAGUCUGUUUGUUUGUUUGGUUUUUACUUUAGGAAUCAGAUAUUUUACUAAAGUUUUAGUCUCUCUUAACUUUCCUACAUUCUCCUACCAAAACCAAACAUAACAUCAAAACCACAAUAAAUAAAUAAAAUAGUAGGAAAAAAAAACCCACCCUGUGUACUUUAAAAAACUUUUUUGAGGUGGGAGCCUUGUUGUUGUUCAUGCUGGUCUCCAACUCAUACACUCAAGUGAUUUUCCUGCCCACAACAGUCUAUUUGAAUAAAGUUUUCCAGAGCAAUACCACCCUACUCAAAAUGAAUCAAUUAAGCUAAUAUACAAAAUUUUAACUUAUUGCACAGUUCAUUUUGUGUUCUAAAAUUCAUAAUCUUUAAAGAUCGAAACAUUUCUCCUCUGCUGUUUCCUAAAAUCCUGACAUUUUGCAUAUUAGGGUUAAAGAAUAAACUAUUUCUUUAAAUACCUGUUUCCUUUUUGGUACUGGGGAACGAACUUGGGACCUUACUGUCAGAUAAAAGGGCCGAAGACCAAGACCAGACCAGGCCACAACAAGCCUUUAUUAGGGGAAUAGAUCUGCUGGGCUGUCUCUGAACAAAGGAGAGACAAAAGCAAUAUGGCUGGGGCAGGGAGAGUCUUUUAUAGAGACUGGGGUGGGGCUUGUAGGGGCUGAGGCAGGGUUGAGUGAGGUAGUGACUAGGGAAUGGAGGAGCCGGUAAUGUCACUAGGUGGUAGGAGGUGAGCAAGUAUUAGGUUACUGUCUAGGUUGGAACAGGGGCAUGCUGGGAAGAAGGGUUUGUUCUUUGGUGGUAGGAGGUGAGCAAGUAUUAGGUUACUGUCUAGGUUGGAACAGGGGCAUGCUGGGAAGAAGGGUUUGUUCUUUGGUGGGAGCAACCAUCUUGGCAUGAUGUCACACAGGGGAGGGGGCAAGGCACCAUAGGAAGAGGGCAGCUACUAUACUUAAUAGCUGCUGAGGUGGUGGGAGACCUAUCACUUACA
ensembl:lncRNA